CGUCACUUCAUUAUUGGCUGCACCUGCGCAAUCAUGUGAUGCGAUACAUUUUUCAAAGACGUUUUUCAAGACACAGGAGAGGUCGGGUUGAAACAUUACUGAUGUUUCACGUUAAAAAUGGCUCUAAAGAUUGAUGCUAAACAACGUUUGACAUGUUUGAACAAUGUAAAUAGAUAAUUUUUUUUACUUUUCGCCGUGACUCCCCCCCCCCCGUGCUACUUUUUAGUAGCCUACCGAAGCGCUAACAACUUGGAGUUAUUGGGACAUCAAUUAUGAACUUUGUUGAAAGAAACCACAUUUGCAGUGGACCUGGGAUGCCUGGAAUUGCCAAUGGAUGAAGAGAAUCAAAGACUAAAUCAUCUUAAAUCUGGGAUGUGAGAAUCUCGUCUUCUUCCCAAAUACAGCCAUUGUGUCGGCGUGAAAGGAGUUCCCUGUCCACUCUAUCCCUCUCUCUUUCCCUCUAUAGUCCACUCCCCCCUCUCUCUCUCCAUCUCUCUUUCCCUCUAUAGUCCUCUCUCUCUCUCUCUCUCUCUCUCUCUCUCUCUCUCGCUCUCUCUCUUUCCAUCUAUAGUCCCCUCCCCCCCUCUCUCUCUCUCUCUCUCUCUCUCUCUC
rnacentral:lncRNA from 1 species